rnacentral:ncRNA from 3 species
UCAUCCGUCGCGGGAGACGCCGUGCAGUACCUCUGGGUACAUCGUGCCCUCGGGCGCGCGCACGGCACCGAAGGAGCAAUCCCCCCGUCAAUCUCUCAGGUCCCACACCGCAGCGGACAG